GUUUUAACUGGAGGGAAGGUGGGGAUGACGUCAAGUCAUCAUGGCCCUUACGACCAGGGCUACACACGUGCUACAAUGGCGCAUACAAAGAGAAGCGACCUCGCGAGAGCAAGCGGACCUCAUAAAGUGCGUCGUAGUCCGGAUUGGAGUCUGCAACUCGACUCCAUGAAGUCGGAAUCGCUAGUAAUCGUGGAUCAGAAUGCCACGGUGAAUACGUUCCCGGGCCUUGUACACACCGCCCGUCACACCAUGGGAGUGGGUUGCAAAAGAAGUAGGUAGCUUAACCUUCGGGAGGGCGCUUACCACUUUGUGAUUCAUGACUGGGGUGAAGUGAGAAAACCAAG
rnacentral:rRNA from 1 species